ACGGCACUCGGUGUUCCCAGGUAGUAACCCUUCCAAGUGCUGAUCGCACCCAAUUCUGCUUAACUGAGGUGAUGAAACGAAAACUGGCGUUUUCAGCAUGGUAUGGCCGUCA